AUGGCUGAAGCUUUGGCGUUAAAAUUUGGCCUAUCGCUUGCGCAAAGGACGGCUUGUAAUCGCAUAAUUAUUAACUCGGAUAAUAUGGAGGUGAUCGAGACCAUGAACGAAGGAGGACGAUCGUCGGGGGCAGCAGCUGCAAUUUUUUAUGACUGUUUUCACUUAGCUUGUGAUUUUCCUAUUUCUAGAUUCGAGCAUUGUAAUAGAGAAGCAAAUAAAGUUGCUCAUGAACUUGCCAAGUUGGCUGGAUUUUCUUUCAUUUCUGAUUGGUUUGAGGAACCACAUAAUGCAAUUGUACCAAUCCUCAUAAACGAUGUAAUGAUUAUUUCAAAUGAAUAA
rnacentral:rRNA from 1 species